UAACUGGCUUGUGGCAGCCAAGUGUUCAUAGCGGCGAUGUUUUUGAUGCCAGAUCUUCCUAUCAUACUGAAGCAGAAUUCAAUAAGCAUUGGCUCGUUCACCCACUGAUAGGGAACGUGAGCUGGGUUUAGACCGUCAGGAGUCAUGUU
rnacentral:ncRNA from 1 species